rnacentral:lncRNA from 1 species
GCCUUUCUACACAUGUAUUAUAGCUUUACUUUGCCUUUUAAUACAAUAUUAUAUGCACCUGCUCCUAUUGGGCAGUGAUUUAUGUUGCUGUCGUUUAAUUGAUCAUCAUUCAUCUACAACAUAUUAUCAACAAAUAGAUUAGUUUAAGUCGGCAUAUAGUAGUUUCAAAGUUAGCUAGAAUAGUACAUAUGAAAGUUUCUGCAGCCAUGCA